rnacentral:lncRNA from 1 species
CGGGCUUUUUUGCUUCGUAAGGAAAGUGGAGGAAGCACAUAAGAACAGGAAAGUUUUCCUUUAGCAGCAUUAUUCAUUCAUUUGGUUCAAACGAAUAGAGCAAAGGAAAACUGAAGGAUUUUUUUUCUUCUCUGAUCUCACUUCCGAAAGGGAAAACACAGGACUUUUACAUUCUGCUUGGCCCUCAUUUUAGAAUUCCUACACACAAAGAGGCAUCCUAACUAUACUUUCUUUUCAUGUAACUUGUGCAGAUAGGCUACCCGGCGCAAUAGGCAUUAAAUCAUAUUCUCACGGUGAAGAUGGCAAGGUUGCACUGAGAGUGGAAUCCUUCCUGCCCAAACAAUAUUCAGAUUUUGUAGCGCAUGUCGGGAUGUACUGAGGUUCUUGGAUAUGUUUCGGUUGUGACGCUUCUAUCUAUCCUUUUGUGGCAUUUGCGAUCUUUAUCUUAGCCACGCAAAACUUUUGAGAUUGAUGAUGCCAUCUAUAUUUGAACUUGUAUCCUGUAUUUUCACAACUUAUCGGGCACGGUUGUGCAUGUGGUAUGAGGCAAAUAUCUCUCUCCAUUGAUUGUUUCAACUAUGAAAUUAGUCCUUGCAUGGCAGUCACUUGUUAAUGUUCAGGU